UCUUUCCCACCCCGCUCCUGACCUCUCACUCUAGGCGGCCUCUUCGUCUCCUCCGCCGCCGCCGCCGUUGUUGGUCGGUGGCGCAGAGGCAGCGGCCGGCGGUAGCGGUUGAGGCGUUCUCUUCGACCUUAAUGAACGACCUCGUUCCAGACAACAGAAACACACAUUCGGUACAGGCCCUGGGGUCCAACCCGUCUGGAGGGUCUUCCGGACGACGUGAGAUAGUAGCGAUCCUACCCGGACCCGAGACGGGGUCUAGAAGAGCGUAAACGACGGUGGACGGCAAGAACCCCAUGACGAAAACGGCCGAGGUAUCGUUGUAAGGGUGGAGAGGAAGAGGUUGGACUACAGAGAAGAAGUGGAGGAUUACGAUCGGGGAAAUCGUUGUUGGACCACGGGUUAGCAGGUAUAGAACAGUGUCUAUAUCGGUUUCAGUUGGUUCCACGGUUGGAAACGAGACUUUAAGGAGAUGCAGAUCUUACCAAAAGGAAGUACCCCCGAAGGAAACCGGUAGAGUAAAACAAAUUGUUUUUUAGAACAUAGCAACAACUACACAGAUCUCCACAAUCGCAGAGUGGAGGUGUUGAUGGUGAACAACUUACACGACUCGGGUUGAUACCACGGGAAUGACGAGGAGAGUGUAGUGGGUUGAGAGUAGAGUAAUAGCUCCGACCUGGAGUAUUAGACAAAACCGCACAACCAUCGCUGAGCACCCACUCUACAAGAUGAGCAGUACCUGUAUAGUUCGUUUAGCACCAGAAAUUUCCUGCCCACAAACCGUACCUAAGACUAGCGUCUUAGAAGUUUCACGUGAACUGUGGGGUCUAAUCGUAGGUUCUUGAUGGUCAGUAGCUCAGUUCGUACUAGUCAUUUGCCUUAGAAAGGUUACGUACCGACCACCGAACACCUCUAUACGAAGAGAACCAGCCGACAGCCCCUAGAUAGCAUCAUAGUCCCCAUUGGAAACUUCAGAAAGCGGAACUGGAUAGCAAACUCGGACGUAACACCAAGUUCCACCUCUUCGAUCUCGUAACCCGAUAUAAGUAGUCGUGCCUGUUCUCUUCGGUCCGUAACAGAACGUACUUGGGCCUCUAUACCCCUCCCGCCUCGUUGACGUAUAUGACGAUAUUGGUACUCAGACUUGCAACCUAACGUGAACUCGACCCGUUUGGCGAUGUCCCUCUACAGAAAUAAAAGUACCCGACACUGCCGUUCCACGUUGGAUACACCCAACAGGGGUCGUACGAGAGAGACACAGCCACUAAUAGUAUGUACUGAUUAUAUAGAAUAUAACCUCGUCUAAGAUAAUAACAUUCCUACACAGUCUUAGAUAGGUGCAAACCAUCAACAGCUAGCAGCUUAAAGCAUUGAACAUCAUUACGUAAUACG
rnacentral:rRNA from 1 species